GGGGAAUACUGGGUGAUGACUGCAUGGAAAUCCCCAGUCACUUCUUCCUCUUGUAGAGUAUGAGACAGGUUAUAUCCAGGAGCACUAUCUGUAGUCAAUGGGGUGCUGGCUACCUAUCCACCUGUCGCAGUGGCCAUGGAUGGAAGACGGGAGCAUUGUGCCUGAGAACUAACUGAAGAACUGCUGCCCAGGGCUACCGAAGUCAAGGAGGACAGCAAAGCCACCCAUUAUAGCAGUUGACCGGGACCACCAGUAGAGAUCCGGAGGUGGAUUGGAAAGCAGUGAGUAAUAAUUCUGGAAUCAUUACUGUGUAGCUGUAAUUUUAUGUUUAGGGCUAUUCACUUAGUGACAAAUACAUUUGUAGAGCUUCAGUUCUCUUGUAGCCUGCUUAAGGUUUCAUUUGGGAUUUCCCCGUAUUUUGUAUUACCCUUCUUCUUUCACAAACCAUCCAGGGCUCCUGCUGCCCACUGCCACCACCAUGCCUUACAGUGAUUCAGUGUUAUCCUUCAUUAAAAAAUAAAAAGGGCCCACAUAAUGCCAGCAUUGAUUGUCUAAAGAGUACCGUACACUGACCGAGAAACAGGAAGGAGGGCAAAACGGGGAAUGCCCUGCAUAUAUUGGGCAGAAGAGAACUUAUGCUGGGUUCACAGGGCCCAAUGUCCAGGCCGGCUAAUGGAAAUGAACGUUGCCCUCGAUAACCCAAUGAACGAGCGUUGAAACAAUCGUUAGUGCAGACACCUCAAUCAUUGUUUCUGGGCAGCAGAACGUGCUGUGUGAACAGGGAUCUGCUGCCCUGAAACAAUGCAGCUGUAUGAGGACGAGUGAUCGCAGUAGCCAUUGCUCAUCAUCAUAUUGUGGAGGUGAUCGCAGCACUGAACGGGCAGCUAAUUGUUGGCAAGGAACGCUUCCUUCCCUAGGGGUGUACUGGCCAUAGACUCUACAGGGAAACUUCCAGGUGAGCUGAUGCCCAGGAGACCACCUGAGACCUUCUCAAGACCUCCAGGCAGGUAUGUAAUGAUCUGAUGCUUUCCUCCUGAUUCUUGAAUUCAACUGUAUUGCCAUCUUAAGGGAACUGGAGUAGGAAGACAGAACGUGGCAGCUGGCGUUGACCAGCUUCUGGGGAGGAAUUUUGUGAUGGACUGUGGUAUUUGGCUCUACUGGGGUGGUAUAAUGUGCCACAAUAUAGUAAUGUUGGCCCUGCCUUCUGUCAGCUUUGAUGUGCCUACAACAUAGGGCCACUUUUACUUUUUUUCUCCAGGGCCAUCCCUGUCCUUCUCAAUAACUGACUGCUGGUCGGAGCAUGUAAAUCCAGCGUAAGCUGUACGCACACAGAUAGCACUUUCUCACUGUAAAGUUGGGUGGAGCACACUAGUCACGUCAGUGUAGUCCGUCAGUGGCCUACCGCACUUUAAUCAUGCCUGAAUACCUCCAAGGAUAAGCGUAACAACCUGCACACUCCGUGAUGUUAUUAGCUCUUCAGAAGGCCAGGGACUGGGUCAUGUUAUUUGUCUGCUAUGUUUGCAAACUGUAUUGACUUUAUACUGAGCAUACAAUAAAAUGGCAAUAGAGGCUGGGUCAAUAUUGAAUUUACCCCUGCUGUACUGUAAGGCUUUCUUAUUUAUUCAGGGGCCCUUGUCUUCAAGCGUGGGAGUGGUGCAGGGUGAUCCAUCACUUCCGUACAUCUAUAUACACACUACUUCUGAACUGAAGGAUCAACCAACAUUAUUUAAUGAGCACUAGCCCUAUAGUCAUAAGUGUAUAAGGGCCCAUUUACACCGCCAGACAACCUGCAGAUAAUGACCGCCAAUCCGGCAAGUUAACAUUUACCUCCUCUUAAUUGUUCCUGUACAGUUUGUAUUAUUGUCGGCAGCACAUCCCCUAUUUAUAUGACAAUGAUAAUGACAAUGAUAUUUAGUACAAACAACAGUCGCUGGUUCUUAAAGGGAUUUUCUGGGAUUACUAUUCUGUUUAAUAGAUCUGCUCAUGUAGUUGCCUACAUCAUGUAAAUCUUCCCCAUACUUUUUGUUUUUUUUCAAUUUAGACUAUACUGCAGGGCCGCAUGGCCAAUUAGGCGAAGUGAGGCCAUUGCCUCAGGCAGCGCAGAACUUGAGAUGAGUGGGGUCUGCGGCAGGGCCAAGGGUAAAGAGCGCUUCCAUUGUGAAAUCACUCAUCUCUGUAUUUCAACUGUAUCGCCGUCCUCAGGACGGUAAUACAGUUGGAUGCUGCAGCUGGGCACAGGAGUUAUGUCUUCCUGCCCCGCUGUUCCCUCUGAUAGGCUUCAGGCCUAGUGCCUGCAGAGAUAGGAGAUGGCUGAAAAAUCAUCAUGGUGGUUUGGUCUGAAUGGAGAAGAUUAGGAAGAAGAGCAUCUAUAUCAAAGGAGAUGUCACUGGAUGUAAGAGAGGCCGCUGUUUCCCCACACAGCUAAUAUACUGCUGGAUUUCCAUAUUCAUGAGAGGUGGGGUUGAGAAGCUGGAGAAGAAGUUGGAAGCAGAGGAAUAGCAGACAUCUUAGAGGGAGCCAGACAGAACAGGACAGUGUGCGAAUCGAAUCCGCUGGCAUCCAAGUGUCCGUGCUUCCUACAGUGGCCGGAGCUGCAGCUGAGUGAGGCUGAUCCAAGUCCAAGUCCCAGAGCCCGUCCGUAGGAAAAGGAUCGUUUCCAGAAAGGCUGUUAGGACCUUUGGAACAAAGCGCUAUCUUCUCUGCAGGGCCGCAUGUGUGCUGAAGAGACUUGCUUCUGUCCAUGUUGAAAACAUCAGCGGAUGAAAACAUACCUGGGUCAGUAAAAUCGUGCACACAGGGUGUCAGUGUUGCUUACUCAUUCGUGACUUCGCUGUAUCCUGGGGAGCCCACCCAGGCACACGGCUUACAGAUACAAACCGGAAGACCCCUUUAACCUCCCUGACGGUAUUCCCGAGCGUGACUUGGGUUAAUUUUCGCUGCCAGGAUCGGUAACCCUGAGUCACGCUCGGGGUAACAUUGCAGGGUCUGUUCACCUUCUGCCGGCGAUCCGGCAAUGUCCUCCACUUGUGUUCUGCCAGAUCUCCAUACCUUGCGAAAA